rnacentral:rRNA from 1 species
CCUACGGGAGGCUGCAGUGGGGAGUAUUGCACAAUGGGCGCAAGCCUGAUGCAGCCAUGCCGCGUGUGUGAAGAAGGCCUUCGGGUUGUAAAGCACUUUCAGCGGGGAGGAAGGCGGUGAGGUUAAUAACCUCAUCGAUUGACGUUACCCGCAGAAGAAGCACCGGCUAACUCCGUGCCAGCAGCCGCGGUAAUACGGAGGGUGCAAGCGUUAAUCGGAAUUACUGGGCGUAAAGCGCACGCAGGCGGUCUGUCAAGUCGGAUGUGAAAUCCCCGGGCUCAACCUGGGAACUGCAUUCGAAACUGGCAGGCUAGAGUCUUGUAGAGGGGGGUAGAAUUCCAGGUGUAGCGGUGAAAUGCGUAGAGAUCUGGAGGAAUACCGGUGGCGAAGGCGGCCCCCUGGACAAAGACUGACGCUCAGGUGCGAAAGCGUGGGGAGCAAACAGGAUUAGAUACCCCAGUAGUC